UAGGGAAUCUUCCGCAAUGGACGCAAGUCUGACGGAGCAACGCCGCGUGAGUGAAGAAGGAUUUCGGUUCGUAAAACUCUGUUGUUAGAGAAGAACAGCGCAUAGAGUAACUGUUAUGCGUGUGACGGUAUCUAACCAGAAAGCCACGGCUAACUACGUGCCAGCAGCCGCGGUAAUACGUAGGUGGCAAGCGUUGUCCGGAUUUAUUGGGCGUAAAGCGAGCGCAGGCGGUCAAUUAAGUCUGAUGUGAAAGCCCCCGGCACAACCGGGGAGGGUCAUUGGAAACUGGUUGACUUGAGUGCAGAAGAGGAGAGUGGAAUUCCAUGUGUAGCGGUGAAAUGCGUAGAUAUAUGGAGGAACACCAGUGGCGAAGGCGACUCUCUGGUCUGUAACUGACGCUGAGGCUCGAAAGCGUGGGUAGCAAACAGG
rnacentral:rRNA from 1 species